UACCAGCCCUCCGAGUGGUGUGGAUGUUUAUUGGGCCUAAAGCAUCCGUAGCUGGCUGGACAAGUCCCCUGUUAAAUCCACCGAUUUAAUCGUUGGAGUGCGGGGGAUACUGUUCGGCUAGGGGACGGGAGAGGCAGACGGUAUUUUCGGGGUAGGGGUGAAAUCCUAUAAUCCCGGGAAUACCACCAGUGGCGAAGGCUGUCUGCUAGAACGCGCCCGACGGUGAGGGAUGAAAGCUGGGGGAGCGAACCGGAUUAGAUACCCGGGUAGUCCCAGCUGUAAACGAUGCAGGCUAGGUGUUUGGGCGGCCACGUGCCGCUCUAGUGCCGCAGGGAAGCCGUUAAGCCUGCCGCCUGGGGAGUACGGCCGCAAGGCUGAAACUUAAAGGAAUUGGCGGGGGAGCACCACAAGGGGUGAAGCUUGCGGUUU
rnacentral:rRNA from 1 species